GCGCAGCAGUCGAGAAUUUUUCUCAAUGGGGGGAAACCCUGAAGGAGCGACGCCGCGUGGAGGAUGAAGGUCUUCGGAUUGUAAACUCCUGUCAUUAGGGAACAAAUCUUCCAAGUAACUACUGGAAGUCUGAUAGUACCUGAAGAGGAAGAGACGGCUAACUCUGUGCCAGCAGCCGCGGUAAUACAGAGGUCUCAACCGUUGUUCGGAUUCAUUGGGCGUAAAGGGUGCGUAGGCGGCGGAGUAAGUCAGGUGUGAAAUCUCGGGGCUCAACCCCGAAACUGCACUUGAUACUGCUUCGCUUGAGUAUUGGAGAGGAGAUUGGAAUUUACGGUGUAGCAGUGAGAUGCGUAGAUAUCGUAAGGAAGACCAGUGGCGAAGGCGAAUCUCUGGACAAUUACUGACGCUGAGGCACGAAGGCC
rnacentral:rRNA from 1 species